CCCCUCCCACCCGCGCAGCCGACCGCGGGGCCUGCUGGGAAGUGUAGUCCGUUCCGUGAGGCAGGCCUGGGGGCUAGAAGCGCACAGCCGGACACUCAUCUACCUGAGAGAGGCCUGGGGAUUCGCUGAGAAGAAAACUAGAGACUUCUGUCCCACUGCUCUCCGUCAGAAUCCACCCAAAACACCCUGAAGAAACUUCCAUCGUGACCCCUGAGGCCACUGACGCAGCCUGCGUUCACGCCCCUGUGGAAUCCUCUUGACACGCCAAAACUUGGGGUGUCUCAGUUUGAAGGAAGCAUUUGUCCUCCCCUCACAUGUGCUUUAACUCAGUAACCCACAGUGACUCCGCUUUCACUGAGUCAGGCUUCGGAUUCUUGGCUCCUGAAUUUGAAGAAUGAAGUUCAUGGACCAUGGAGUAAAGUUUAGCUUAAAAGAGUUUUUAAAACAUCCAUAGGUAGGAGCUUGAAAGAAAACAGAGCCUGCCCAUCCCAGGAAAUGAGGUACCAACUAGCCUCAUGCCAGGGGCUGGGGAUGAGUUAGAGGUGUCUCCACUCAGUUCCCAAGUCUUGUCCUCACCUGUAACUUCCGCACAAAGGUCAUAGUUCAUCACUGAAGAAAGUUGGAGCAGGAACUUGAAGGAAAAAGUAUGGGGGAACAAAAUAAUAGAGGAAAAGUGCUUCCUGGAUCACUAGCAGGGAAUCAUGACCAAGCCUAACAGCGACUUUCAAGUCUCCAAAAAGAUGAUGAGACCCACAACGAUGAUUCCACAUGGACAAUAAUAAUACCACUAAGCUGACAAACACCACCCAAAGAUUGACUUUGGACUACACACUGCUCAGGACAAUUUCAAGAUUGCUAGGAAGCUUAAAAAGUAAUAGAUCUGUCAUCCUAACAAGACUGUGGCUUAUAUCCAUUUCAUGAGAUCAAGUACAUUUACUUAAAGUCACACACUGGAAGCAACUGAGUCCGAACUUGAGCCCAGCCUGCUUAUUUACAGCAUGGCUCCCAGCCACAAGCUGCACCAUUGGAGAUGGAAUCAGGCUAUGUUUUCUGCCUUCAAUCUCAGUGUUGAAAUUGCCUUUCGAACUUGAACCAGCCAAAAAAAAAAUUCUAAAUGAAAAACAAGAAUAAAAAGAGCAAAGUCUGAAACCAACUUGAGAAGUGAACAGUGUGUUUGGGCUGCACAUGUUUGCCGAGAGCGUGUGACAGCCUUCAUGGAGCAGGCCCUUCCUCGGCCAGGCCUGGCUGCUGGGCCAGCUCCGCCACCAUGUCCCAGAAGCCGUGGGGCAGCAACGGAAGUCAUAUUUGGAGGUUCCCCACAGAAGCUUGUUUACCGACUCCUCAGAACCACGCUUGCCUGCUUCCUCGUUGGUUUCCUGCCACGGCACGAUCGAUUCUUACAGAUACAUUUCUCUAGAAGUCGAGUGGUGCCAGGCAACCCGUGCCAAAGCAGUCUCAUUUCCAUGUGUGGUCUGGGUGGAUUGGGGGAGGCUACAGGCAGAACCGCUCCGAUUUCAGCAGCCUGCUUGGAAGAGUGUCUCACCCACCUGAGCCUCCCUAGAGUGGUCAUCUGACCUAGUCCUUCCCCUGCUGGAACCCAGGGUGCCACAUUACCUGCAAGACAGACUGGGAACUCAGCCAUGUGCAGGGCCACCAGGGAUCUCAGUCUUGGGUGCUAUGGUCCCUUCCCACUGCUCUCCUGAGCACUUGCAUCUCCAUAAUGCAACUCUCCUUUCAGUACUGCUUGAGCCAACCAGAAUGCUCUGCCCUGCCUUGUCCCCACAGCUAAUCCACACUCAGCUGGAGAGCCCAACUGAACCGAACAUCCCCACCUUCCCUUUCUCUGCUCCACCCAACUGGAAAGAAUCAACACCCCCAAACCCAACCCCCAUGAGUUCUUAUGUGCUCCGUGCUUAUGACAGGAACUUGGGACAGGAUGUUUCUUAAAAUUCAAAACGUUCAGUUUAUAAAAGAUAGAAAAGACCAAA